GAUGAAGAACGUAGCGAAAUGCGAUAAGUAAUGCGAAUUGCAGAAUUCCAGUGAGUCAUCGAAUCUUUGAACGCACAUUGCGCCCUUUGGUAUCCCGAGGGGCAUGCCUGUUCGAGCGUCAUUUCACCACUCAAGCCUGGCUUGGUGUUGGGCGACGUCCCCUUUAGGGACGCGCCUUGAAACGCUCGGCGGCGUGGCACCGGCUUUAAGCGUAGCAGAAUCUUUCGCUUUGGAAGUCGGGGCCCCGCCUGCCGGAAUACCUACUCGUAAGGUUGACCUCGGAUCAGGCAGGGAUACCCGCUGAACUUAAGCAUAUCAAUAAGCGGAGGA
rnacentral:misc_RNA from 1 species